GAGGGAAAAGGAGCAAUCCGCUUUGAGAUGGCCUCGCGUCCGAUUAGCUAGUUGGUGAGGUAACGGCCCACCAAGGCAACGAUCGGUAGCCGGACUGAGAGGUUGAACGGCCACAUUGGGACUGAGACACGGCCCAGACUCCUACGGGAGGCAGCAGUGGGGAAUAUUGCACAAUGGGGGAAACCCUGAUGCAGCGACGCCGCGUGGAGGAAGAAGGUCUUCGGAUUGUAAACUCCUGUUGUUGAGGAAGAUAAUGACGGUACUCAACAAGGAAGUGACGGCUAACUACGUGCCAGCAGCCGCGGUAAAACGUAGGUCACAAGCGUUGUCCGGAAUUACUGGGUGUAAAGGGAGCGCAGGCGGGAAGACAAGUUGGAAGUGAAAUCUAUGGGCUCAACCCAUAAACUGCUUUCAAAACUGUUUUUCUUGAGUAGUGCAGAGGUAGGCGGAAUUCCCGGUGUAGCGGUGGAAUGCGUAGAUAUCGGGAGGAACACCAGUGGCGAAGGCGGCCUACUGGGCACCAACUGACGCUGAGGCUCGAAAGUGUGGGUAGCAAACAGGAUUAGAUACCCUGGUAGUCCACACCGUAAACGAUGAUUACUAGGUGUUGGAGGAUUGACCCCUUCAGUGCCGCAGUUAACACAAUAAGUAAUCCACCUGGGGAGUACGACCGCAAGGUUGAAACUCAAAGGAAUUGACGGGGGCCCGCACAAGCAGUGGAGUAUGUGGUUUAAUUCGACGCAACGCGAAGAACCUUACCAAGUCUUGACAUCCUGCGACGGACAUAGAAAUAUGUCUUUCCUUCGGGACGCAGAGACAGGUGGUGCAUGGUUGUCGUCAGCUCGUGUCGUGAGAUGUUGGGUUAAGUCCCGCAACGAGCGCAACCCUUACUGUCAGUUACUACGCAAGAGGACUCUGGCAGGACUGCCGUUGACAAAACGGAGGAAGGUGGGGAUGACGUCAAAUCAUCAUGCCCUUUAUGACUUGGGCUACACACGUACUACAAUGGCGUUAAACAAAGAGAAGCAAGACCGCGAGGUGGAGCAAAACUCAGAAACAACGUCCCAGUUCGGACUGCAGGCUGCAACUCGCCUGCACGAAGUCGGAAUUGCUAGUAAUCGUGGAUCAGCAUGCCACGGUGAAUACGUUCCCGGGCCUUGUACACACCGCCCGUCACACCAUGAGAGCCGGGGGGACCCGAAGUCGGUAGUCUAACCGCAAGGAGGACGCCGCCGAAGGUAAAACUGGUGAUUGGGGUGAAGUCGUAACAAGGUAGCCGUAGGAGAACCUGCGGCUGGAUCACCUCCUUUCUAAGGA
rnacentral:rRNA from 1 species